rnacentral:rRNA from 1 species
AUUGAACGCUGGCGGCAGGCUUAACACAUGCAAGUCGAGCGGAGAGAGGUAGCUUGCUACUGAUCUUAGCGGCGGACGGGUGAGUAAUGCUUAGGAAUCUACCUAUUAGUGGGGGACAACAUUUCGAAAGGAAUGCUAAUACCGCAUACGUCCUACGGGAGAAAGCAGGGGAUCUUCGGACCUUGCGCUAAUAGAUGAGCCUAAGUCGGAUUAGCUAGUUGGUGGGGUAAAGGCCUACCAAGGCGACGAUCUGUAGCGGGUCUGAGAGGAUGAUCCGCCACACUGGGACUGAGACACGGCCCAGACUCCUCCGGGAGGCAGCAGUGGGGAAUAUUGGACAAUGGGCGCAAGCCUGAUCUAGCCAUGCCGCUUGUGUGAAGAAGGCCUUAUGGUUGUAAAGCACUUUAAGCGAGGAGGAGGCUACUUUAGUUAAUACCUAGAGAUAGUGGACGUUACUCGCAGAAUAAGCACCGGCUAACUCUGUGCCAGCCGCCGCUGUAAUAC